UAAGCCUAAAUACUCCCAGAUGACCGAUAGCGGACAAGUACCGUGAGGGAAAGGUGAAAAGUACCCCGGGAGGGGAGUGAAAUAGUACCUGAAACCGUUUGCUUACAAACCGUUGGAGCCUCCUUAGCAGGGGUGACAGCGUGCCUUUUGAAGAAUGAGCCUGCGAGUUAGCGAUAUGUGGCGAGGUUAACCCGAGUGGGGUAGCCGUAGCGAAAGCGAGUCUGAAUAGGGCGAUUCAGUCGCAUGUCCUAGACCCGAAGCGAAGUGAUCUAUCCAUGGCCAGGCUGAAGCGACGGUAAGACGUCGUGGAGGGCCGAACCCACUUGGGUUGAAAACCGAGGGGAUGAGCUGUGGAUAGGGGUGAAAGGCCAAUCAAACUUCGUGAUAGCUGGUUCUCUCCGAAAUGCAUUUAGGUGCAGCGUUGCGUGUUUCUUGCCGGAGGUAGAGCUACUGGAUGGCCGAUGGGCCCUACAAGGUUACUGACGUCAGCCAAACUCCGAAUGCCGGUAAGUGAGAGCGCAGCAGUGAGACUGUGGGGGAUAAGCUUCAUAGUCGAGAGGGAAACAACCCAGACCACCAACUAAGGUCCCAAAGCGCGUGCUAAGUGGGAAAGGAUGUGGAGUUGCCUUGACAACCAGGAGGUUGGCUUAGAAGCAGCCACCCUUGAAAGAGUGCGUAAUAGCUCACUGGUCAAGUGAUUCCGCGCCGACAAUGUAACGGGGCUCAAGCACGCCACCGAAGUUGUGGCAUUGAUAUUAUUGGUAGGCCUUCGUGGUCCAGCCGUAUUGAUGGGUAGGAGAGCGUCGUGUGGCCAGCGAAGCGGCGGUGUGAACCAGCCGUGGAGGCUACACGAGUGAGAAUGCAGGCAUGAGUAGCGAAAGACGUGUGAGAAACACGUCCUCCGAAAGACCAAGGGUUCCAGGGUCAAGCUAAUCUUCCCUGGGUAAGUCGGGACCUAAGGCGAGGCCGACAGGCGUAGUCGAUGGACAACGGGUUGAUAUUCCCGUACCGGCGAAGAACCGCCCAAACCAAUCCAGUAAUGCUAAGUGUCUGAAUCCCUGUGACGGAUCCCUUCGGGGUGAAGCGUUGGGCCUAGCACACGACCCUAUGCUGAGGCGGUUAGCGUAUUAACAGGUGUGACGCAGGAAGGUAGCCCAAGCCAGGCGAUGGUAGUCCUGGUGCAAGUGCGUAGGCCGAGUGAUAGGCAAAUCCGUCACUCAUUCAGGCUGAGACACGAUGCGGAUAAAAAGUGGGUGAUCCUAUGCUGCCAAGAAAAGCAUCGACGCGAGGUUCAAGCCGCCCGUACCCCAAACCGACUCAGGUGGUCAGGUAGAGAAUACCAAGGAGAUCGAG
rnacentral:rRNA from 1 species